UGGGUAGUCCGCACGAGCGCACCUUGUCAUUAGUUGCUACGAAAGGGCACUCUAAUGAGACUGCCGGUGACAAACCGGAGGAAGGUGGGGAUGACGUCAAGUCCUCAUGGCCCUUAUGGGUAGGGCUUCACACGUCAUGCAAUGGUCGGUACAGAGGGUUGCCAAGCCGCGAGGUGGAGCCAAUCCCAGAAAACCGAUCGUAGUCCGGAUCGCAGUCUGCAACUCGACUGCGUGAAGUCGGAAUCGCUAGUAAUCGCGGAUCAGAAUGCCGCGGUGAAUACGUUCCCGGGUCUUGUACACACCGCCCGUCACACCAUGGGAGUGGGUUCUACCAGAAGUGGCUAGUCUAACCGCAAGGAGGACGGUCACCACGGUAGGAUUCAUGACUGGGGUGAAGUCGUAACAAGGUAGCCGUAUCGGAAGGUGCGGCUGGAUCACCUCCUUUCU
rnacentral:rRNA from 1 species